AGUGAACGCUGGCGGCGUGCCUAAUACAUGCAAGUCGAACGGAGUGGCGCACGGGUGAGUAAUAUAUAGCUAAUCUGCCCCUUGCUGGAGGACAACAGUUAGAAAUGACUGCUAAUACUCCAUAGCAAGGGAUGAGGAUAUAUCGUAUCAGCUAGUCGGUGGGGUAACGGCCUACCGAGGCUAUGACGCGUAACUGGUCUGAGAGGAUGAUCAGUCAAAUUGGAACUGAGACACGGUCGAAACUACUACGGGAGGCAGCAGGAGGGAAUAUUGGGCAAGGGGGGUGACCGUGGAGGAGCAACGGCGCGUGAAGGACUACACUUUUCGGAGAGUAAACUCCUUUUGAUAGGAAAGCGGUACCUAACGAAUAAGCACCGGCUAACUCCGUGCCAGCAGCCGCGGUAAUUC
rnacentral:rRNA from 1 species